AUUGAACGCUGGCGGCAUGCCUAACACAUGCAAGUCGAGCGAGCGGCGGACUGGUGAGUAAGGUGUGUGAAACUGCUUGAUGGAGGGGGAUAACUACUGGAAACGGUAGCUAAUACCGCAUACCAUCAGAUGUGCCCAGAUGGGAUUAGCUAGUAGGUGGGGUAAAGGCUCACCUAGGUGACGAUCCCUAGCUGGUCUGAGAGGAUGACCAGCCACGCUGAAACUGAGACACGGUCCAGACUCCUACGAGAGGCAGCAGUGGGGAAUAUUGAACAAUGGGGGCUAGCUAGAUGCUGCCACGCCGCGUGUGUGAAGAAGGCCUUCGGAUUGUAAAGCACUUUCAGCGGGGAGGCGUUACUCGCAGAAGAAGCACCGGCUAACUCCGUACCAGGAGCCGCGGUAAUUC
rnacentral:rRNA from 1 species